rnacentral:rRNA from 1 species
AUUGAACGCUGGCGGCAGGCCUAACACAUGCAAGUCGAGCGGAGUGAUGGUGCUUGCACUAUCACUUAGCGGCGGACGGGUGAGUAAUGCUUAGGAAUCUGCCAUUUAGUGGGGGACAACAUUCCGAAAGGAAUGCUAAUACCGCAUACGUCCUACGGGAGAAAGCAGGGGAUCUUCGGACCUUGCGCUAAAUGAUGAGCCUAAGUCGGAUUAGCUAGUUGGUGGGGUAAAGGCCUACCAAGGCGACGAUCUGUAGCGGGUCUGAGAGGAUGAUCCGCCACACUGGGACUGAGACACGGCCCAGACUCCUACGUGAGGCAGCAGUGGGGAAUAUUGGACAAUGGGCGGAAGCCCGAUCCAGCCAUGCCGCGUGUGUGAAGAAGGCCUUUUGGUUGUAAAGCACUUUAAGCGAGGAGGAGGCUACUAGUACUAAUACUACUGGAUAGUGGACGUUACUCGCAGAAUAAGCACCGGCUAACUCUGUGCCAGCCGCCGCAGUAACAC